rnacentral:misc_RNA from 1 species
GAUGAAGAACGUAGCGAAAUGCGAUAAGUAAUGUGAAUUGCAGAAUUCAGUGAAUCAUCGAAUCUUUGAACGCACAUUGCGCCCCUUGGUAUUCCGAGGGGCAUGCCUGUUCGAGCGUCAUUAUAACCCUCAAGCUCAGCUUGGUGUUGGGGCCUGCUGCACUGGCAGCCCUUAAAAUCAGUGGCGGCGCCAUCUGGCUCUAAGCGUAGUAAUUCUUCUCGCUAUGGAGUCCUGGUGGAUGCUUGCCAUCAACCCCCAAUUUUUCUAUGGUUGACCUCGAAUCAGGUAGGGAUACCCGCUGAACUUAAGCAUAUCAAUAAGCGGAGGA